rnacentral:lncRNA from 1 species
UCUGAGUUCCAAAGUGUUCAAAAUAUCCAAAACCCUCUCCUAGAAGUAUCAUUCAUCGAACAGAAAUUGGUUUCUAGCUACGAUGUUGAAGAAAUUAAAGAUCUCAUUUACAAUAAUAAACAAGUCUUCUCCAAAAAGCCAAUUUGGGCGAUAAAUAAUGAGUGGGAGCUAGCGAUACCUCUGCAGAGCUUUGUUGCAGGCUUGUCUGCGGGGCACCAUCAAACCCACUCACCUUUCCAGCAAUUUGUUUAUGUCCUUCUAGCCAAAGCAAAACAGCUGAAUGAUCAGCAAGUAAGUAUAAUUUGUGAAAGAGUUUACUUUUUUAAAUGAUUAUACGUAAUUUUAAAAUGAAAGGUUUCAUAAUUUAUCAGGUUA